CGUUUGAGAGAUGGGAUGACACAGUAGGAUAAGCUAAGCACACUGUUGGUUAUGUGUGCCCAAGCAUUGAGGCAGUCAAAGUAGGUAAAUCCGCUUUGAUAAUGCUGGGAUGUGAUGGGGAGCGAAAGUUAGUAGCGAAGUAGCUGAUUUCACACUGUCAAGAAAAGUCUCUAUCGAGGUUAAAGGUACCCGUACCGCAAACCGACACAGGUG
rnacentral:rRNA from 1 species